UGAUUAGUAAGCCCUCGAAGGAUGCUUUU
rnacentral:piRNA from 1 species